AGGCAAAAAUGCCUCUUAAUUCACAAUUAAAACUCUUGGUUUUGUACUUUCAAGCUGUUAAUAUUCUGGAGAACGAUAACGUCAUAAUAGGUCAGUCCCAACCUUCAAGCUGUUAAUAUAUGAGUAAGUGGGUUCUAACCUGUGGUACCACAAUUGCAAGAUUGAGAACUCCCAAAGAUAAACCUGAAAGAAAUUAAGGUCAGUAAAAGUGUAAAACCCAAUUGGCUACUUGAAAUUGCCCGCCUAAGUUUGAGAACAAUUUAUUUGUAGGUCCUCAAAUUUUAUAAUUAGUGUAUUGAGAAGUGUAAAUAUCAAUCAAUCUCUUAUUGCAUAAAAAUCAAAUUCUAGAAUUAUUUAUAUGAUAGUCUCUCAUCACCUCAUUUUUUAUAAUUAUAUCUUUUCAGUCUUUUUAUCUCAUAAUUCAUCUUAUUUCACAUUUCCUUUUCUUAUUCAAAAUUGUUGCAUAAUUAUAUAUGUGAUAUUUUUAAAAAUAUUAAAUAUUAAUUUGCUAUUGAGAGAAAUUUAAAUCUAAGACUUCUUUCUUCUUUUUUCUUUUUUCUUUUUUCUUAUUUUAACUAUUAAGUCAACCUAUUAACUCCUUAUAUAUGUGAUACUUAAAUUUUUCUUUACUUAUUUUAACCAAAAAAAAAUCCUUUAAUUACAAGUCAUGUUUUUCAGGUUUGCACCUUGAACCAUAAUUCUGACGGUAUUCUGUAAAUGCACAGCAUAUUCAAGGACUAACGGUAAUCUUAAUCACAAUUCACAAGCACCAAGCUAGGUUUGGAUAUAUAAAAU